rnacentral:rRNA from 1 species
AACGAACGCUGGCGGCGCGUCUUAAGCAUGCAAGUCGAACGGCAAGAGAGGAGCUUGCUUCUCUCCUAGAGUGGCGGACUGGUGAGGAACACGUGGGUAAUCUACCCUUAAGAUGGGGAUAGCUGCUAGAAAUAGCAGGUAAUACCGAAUACACUCGGCAUAUCACAAGAGGUGUUGAGGAAAGGAAGCUACGGCUUCGCUUGAGGAUGAGCUUGCGUCCCAUUAGCUAGUUGGUGAGGUAAAGGCCCACCAAGGCGACGAUGGGUAUCCGGCCUGAGAGGGUGAACGGACACAUUGGGACUGAGAUACGUCCCAAACUCCUACGGGAGGCAGCAGCUAAGAAUAUUCCGCAAUGGACGGAAGUCUGACGGAGCGACGCCGCGUGGAUGAAGAAGGCUGAAAAGUUGUAAAAUCCUUUUGUUGAUGAAGAAUAAGGGUGAGAGGGAAUGCUCAUCUGAUGACGGUAAUCGACGAAUAAGCCCCGGCUAAUUACGUG